ACUCCUACGGGAGGCAGCAGUAGGGAAUCUUCCACAAUGGACGAAAGUCUGAUGGAGCAACGCCGCGUGAACGAUGAAGGCUUCGGUCGUAAAGUUCUGUUGUAAGGGAAGAACAAGUGCCGCAGGCAAUGGCGGCACCUUGACGGUACCUUGCGAGAAAGCCACGGCUAACUACGUGCCAGCAGCCGCGGUAAUACGUAGGUGGCAAGCGUUGUCCGGAAUUAUUGGGCGUAAAGCGCGCGCAGGCGGCCUCUUAAGUCUGAUGUGAAAGCCCCGGCUCAACCGGGGGACGGGCCGAUUGGAAACUGGGAGGCGUUGAGUAUAGGAGAGAAGAGUGGAAUUCCACGUGUAGCGGUGAAAUGCGUAGAGAUGUGGAGGAACACCAGUGGCGAAGGCGACUCUUUGGCCUAUAACUGACGCUGAGGCGCGAAAGCGUGGGGAGCAAACAGGAUUAGAUACCCUGGUAGGAUAGCG
rnacentral:rRNA from 1 species